UGACUCUGAGAGCUGAGCAUUGGUAGAGCUUUUCCCAUCUGACAAGGAAACUACAUUGCGAAGGAUUCAGCAAACAUUCAUAUUCUAUUCUAUACUGAUCAGACUGGGUUAAAUACGAACGCAUUUUGCAUAUGAUCAUUGUAAUUCAAAAUGACUGAUUAUGGUGCAGCUCACGUCUUCUGAGUGAAGCAAACUAUCUUGCAACAUUGUGUCUACUGGGUAUCUUGGUGGAUCUAGUUCAAGUCUCAUGCCAAGUUUUGCCUAGGUGAAGCAGAUUCCGAAGGCCACAUAAGA